GGGAAUCUACCGUGCCCUGCGGAAUAGCUCCGGGAAACUGGAAUUAAUACCGCAUACGCCCUACGGGGGAAAGAUUUAUCGGGGUAUGAUGAGCCCGCGUUGGAUUAGCUAGUUGGUGGGGUAAAGGCCUACCAAGGCGACGAUCCAUAGCUGGUCUGAGAGGAUGAUCAGCCACAUUGGGACUGAGACACGGCCCAAACUCCUACGGGAGGCAGCAGUGGGGAAUAUUGGACAAUGGGCGCAAGCCUGAUCCAGCCACGCCGCGUGAGUGAUGAAGGCCUUAGGGUUGUAAAGCUCUUUCACCGGAGAAGAUAAUGACGGUAUCCGGAGAAGAAGCCCCGGCUAACUUCGUGCCAGCAGCCGCGGUAAUACGAAGGGGGCUAGCGUUGUUCGGAAUUACUGGGCGUAAAGCGCACGUAGGCGGAUAUUUAAGUCAGGGGUGAAAUCCCAGAGCUCAACUCUGGAACUGCCUUUGAUACUGGGUAUCUUGAGUAUGGAAGAGGUAAGUGGAAUUCCGAGU
rnacentral:rRNA from 1 species